CGAACGGGUGAGUAACGCGUGAGGAACCUGCCUCAAAGAGGGAGACAACAGUUGGAAACGACUGCUAAUACCGCAUAAGCCCACGGGUCGGCAUCGACCAGAGGGAAAAGGAGCAAUCCGCUUUGAGAUGGCCUCGCGUCCGAUUAGCUAGUUGGUGAGGUAACGGCCCACCAAGGCGACGAUCGGUAGCCGGACUGAGAGGUUGAACGGCCACAUUGGGACUGAGACACGGCCCAG
rnacentral:rRNA from 1 species